rnacentral:misc_RNA from 1 species
UGCAACACGUUUAUUGGGAGCGCAUU